rnacentral:rRNA from 1 species
CCUGAUGCAGCCAUGCCGCGUGUGUGAAGAAGGCCUUCGGGUUGUAAAGCACUUUCAGUCGUGAGGAAAGGUUAGUAGGUAAUAUCUGCUAGCUGUGACGUUAGCGACAGAAGAAGCACCGGCUAACUCCGUGCCAGCAGCCGCGGUAAUACGGAGGGUGCGAGCGUUAAUCGGAAUUACUGGGCGUAAAGCGUGCGUAGGCGGUUUGAUAAGCCAGAUGUGAAAUCCCGGGGCUUAACCUCGGAACUGCAUUUGGAACUGUUUGACUAGAGUACUGUAGAGGGUGGUGGAAUUUCCAGUGUAGCGGUGAAAUGCGUAGAGAUUGGAAGGAACAUCAGUGGCGAAGGCGGCCACCUGGACAGAUACUGACGCUGAGGCACGAAAGCGUGGGGAGCGAACAGGAUUAGAUACCCUGGUAGUCCACGCCGUAAACGAUGUCAACUAGCUGUUUGUGUUCUUGAAACGUGAGUAGCGUAGCUAACGCGCUAAGUUGACCGCCUGG